rnacentral:tRNA from 1 species
GUAGCUCAGCGUUUGAGCACUUGCCUAGCAUGCAUGAGGCCCAGGGUUCAAUUCCCAGC